rnacentral:rRNA from 1 species
UGGGGAAUAUUGGGCAAUGGGCGAAAGCCUGACCCAGCAACGCCGCGUGAGGGAAGAAGGUUUUCGGAUUGUAAACCUCUGUCCUCAGGGAAGAAGGAAGUGACGGUACCUGAGGAGGAAGCCCCGGCUAAUUACGUGCCAGCAGCCGCGGUAAUACGUAGGGGGCGAGCGUUGUCCGGAAUGACUGGGCGUAAAGGGCGCGUAGGCGGCCUGAUAAGUCUGGAGUGAAAGUCCUGCUUUUAAGGUGGGAAUUGCUUUGGAGACUGUUGGGCUUGAGUGCGGAAGAGGUAAGUGGAAUUCCCAGUGUAGCGGUGAAAUGCGUAGAGAUUGGGAGGAACACCAGUGGCGAAGGCGACUUACUGGGCCGUAACUGACGCUGAGGCGCGAAAGCGUGGGGAGCGAACA